rnacentral:tRNA from 1 species
UCCCUGGUGGCUCAGACGGUAAAGCAUCUGCCUGCAGUGCAGGAGACCCAGGUUCAAUCCCUAGAUUGGGAA